GCGCGGCACACACACACACACACACACACCAGUGCUUUCCCCUCAAGUGAGGCAGCGUUAGCAACUGCAGUCCCAGCUUCCUCUGCUGAGGUACAAGCGGCCACUGCCUGAUUUGUUGGAGGAGCGCUAGAGUCCAGUAUCUGAGGGACCCGGCAACACACAGCUGUCACAGCUAGUGGCAGACAGCCACUUCUUCCCAGCUGGUUCGCCAGCCCUGGCAAGAGGGCACACUCUUCGAAAAGCCAGCCUGCCUGGGGAGGAGGUUGCUCCACACUGAAGUGUCCAUUUUGCUCGGAGAUGGAUGCUAAGAUGUAAACUGACUGAUCACCCCAGGUAACUGUCUCACCACAUCAAUCUAUUGAUUCUCACUGCAUGGAGUGAAGAAGAAACCACCAGAUCAGAUAAGUCGACAUUUUCACUGGACCGAUUGGACUGAAAAGGCAAGAUUGAAUGAG